GUUUUUCAGACAAUGCAAAUGUGGACAUGGGUGGCCUCUUAGAUAUUUUCAGCUCUUCCUCCAACUUUCUCCACUUUAAUGAAUGUUAGUGGGCAGGGAGAGAGCGGACUGCAGGAAAAAGAUGUCUGCUGCUAUAUGCAGUUGACUCAUUUAAAGGCACUAUUUCGAAGGGAAAGAGUUUGGCUCAGUAAAAAGAUUGAAUUGUGAAGUACAGAAAACUUGUGUGUGAAGCUGUGGUUGAGGGAGAUGACGUUGACGUUCCAGCCGUCCAUCAGUACCUCAUCCCAAAACACUGCUGCUCUUCAGAGGAGGUAGGACAUCAAAGGUGAGACAGU
rnacentral:lncRNA from 12 species